GACAGAGGGUGCAAACGUUGUUCGGAUUUACUGGGCGUAAAGCGCGUGUAGGCGGCUUCGCAAGUUGGAUGUGAAAUCCCACGGCUCAACCGUGGACGUGCAUCCAAAACUGCGUCGCUGGAGUCUCGGAGAGGAAGGUGGAAUGCUUGGUGUAGAGGUGAAAUUCGUAGAUAUCAAGCAGAACACCUGCGGCGAAGGCGGCCUUCUGGACGAUGACUGACGCUGAGACGCGAAAGCGUGGGGAGCAAACAGG
rnacentral:rRNA from 1 species